ACGAGCGGCUGCUGGCCGGCCAGCGCGAGGCGGCCGCCGCCGAGCUGGAGGCCGAGCGGCUCAGGCUGUUCGCCGACUACCAGCAGAAGGCCGACUGGCUCACCACGCUCAUCGACGAGAGCGAUGACGAGCUCCGACAGGCCAAGGAGCAGCUGGCCGCGCGACAGACCGAGGUGGAGCAGCUGCAGCUAGAGGUUCGCCAGCUGCGCGUCAAACAGGAGCAACAGCAGCAGCUGCAGAGCCAGCUGACCUCAGGACAGAGCCAGGCGGACGCCCGCUGCGACCAGCUGGAAGCCCAGCUGGAGGCGCUGGCGACCGAGCACCAGGUCAAGCUGGAGACGCUGGCGACCGAGCACCAGGCCAAGCUGGAGACCCUGGAGACCGAGCACCAGGCGAAGGUGGCAUCACUGUCGGCCGAGCGUGAGGCGGCGGCCUCGGAGCACGAGCGGCUGCUGGCCGGCCAGCGCGAAGCGGCCGUCGCCGAGCUGGAGGCCGAGCGGCUCAGGCUGUUCGCUGACUACCAGCAGAAGGCCGACUGGCUCACCACGCUCAUCGACGAGAGCGAUGACGAGCUCCGACAGGCCCGGGAGCAGCUGGCGGCGCGCCAGGCGGAGGUGCUGCA